UCCAGGAUAGCCAAGUGGACAUGGCACCUGCCCGGUAACCAGAAGGUUGUGGGUUCGAUUCCCGCUCCUGGAC
rnacentral:tRNA from 1 species